rnacentral:rRNA from 1 species
AUGCUGGAAAGGCUUCUCUUCUACUGCCCCGACGGCGAGUUCACCGCACUCCGGACGCUGUCCAUCUCCUACGGCCUGGGCGGCCUCCACAGCUUGCUCCCACGAUGCCCGCACCUCCGCGUGCUCAGCCUCAAGUUUGUCAACGAUGGCUUCGGGCUUGUCCAGAAUGGCUUGAUCUCACUCCACUUGCCAUCGCUGCAGGAACUUUUCCUUGAAACCCGCAUACUACACACAGAUGCAGUCGACAUCGUCGCCCCUCUGCUGCAGCGAUUGACGGUGUCUGUAGGCGCUUACAAGGUGGUCAGCGGCAUCUCCGUCUCGGCGCCAAUGCUGGGGAAGGUGUCGUGGGAGUGGUGGUAUUUCGAGGCCGGGAGCAUUGUCCAGUUUGGUCCUUGGAGACUCGGGAGGUUGUGGGUACACACAGGAGAGAGACAGGAACAGCUUCAUUCGCUCCACGUUCAUGCAUCCCAUAGCUGGUUUAUUUCCAAUGAAGACAACUUUGCGCAGGAGGUAGAGAAGCACAUGGUUGUUGAUUUCUCUCUUUUGGAGCUACGUCUCCUAAAAGCCGGACAUGUUUUUGGAGCACUGCUGUUUCAUCUCCUCGGGAUUACUCGUAUUUCUAGAGGUCUACAGAGGCUUAAGAUCGUCCUAGAGAGAUCGCUGCUGAAAGGAAAAUGCCCGCCACACUGUCCAUGUGAACCCACAAACUGGAGAUCUCAAACUAUCUCCUUGACUGCUCUCGAAGAAGUGGAAAUCAAUGGCUUCGAAGGACAGGAACAUGAGUUUGAUUUACUGGAAUUAAUACUCAAAUGUGCGACAGUGCUUAAAAAAUGA